rnacentral:tRNA from 1 species
GGUUUGUAGCUCAGUGGUAGGGUGCUUUCCUAGCAUGUCAGAGGCACUGGGUUCGAUUCUCAGCACCA